rnacentral:rRNA from 1 species
CCACGCAGUAAACGAUGAUUACUGGGCGUAUGCGAUAUACAGUAUGCUCCUGAGCGAAAGCGUUAAGUAAUCCACCUGGGGAGUACGCCGGCAACGGUGAAACUCAAAGGAAUUGACGGGGGCCCGCACAAGCGGAGGAACAUGUGGUUUAAUUCGAUGAUACGCGAGGAACCUUACCCGGGAUUGAAAUGUAUAUGCUGACAGGUAGAAAUACUUGUUGUUCCCUUCGGGGACAUAUAUGUAGGUGCUGCAUGGUUGU